GUGGGGAAUUUUGGACAAUGGGGGCAACCCUGAUCCAGCAAUGCCGCGUGCAGGAAGAAGGCCUUCGGGUUGUAAACUGCUUUUGUACGGAACGAAACGGUCUGGGUUAAUACCCUGGGCUAAUGACGGUACCGUAAGAAUAAGCACCGGCUAACUACGUGCCAGCAGCCGCGGUAAUACGUAGGGUGCGAGCGUUAAUCGGAAUUACUGGGCGUAAAGCGUGCGCAGGCGGUUUUGUAAGACAGGCGUGAAAUCCCCGGGCUCAACCUGGGAAUGGCGCUUGUGACUGCAAAGCUGGAGUGCGGCAGAGGGGGAUGGAAUUCCGCGUGUAGCAGUGAAAUGCGUAGAUAUGCGGAGGAACACCGAUGGCGAAGGCAAUCCCCUGGGCCUGCACUGACGCUCAUGCACGAAAGCGUGGGGAGCAAACAGGAUUAGAUACCCUGGUAGUCC
rnacentral:rRNA from 1 species